UUUUUUUUUUUUUUUUUUUUUUUUUUUUUUGGCUUUUCUAGGGCCGCACCCAUGGCAUAUGGAGGUUCCCAGGCUAGGGGUCUAAUCGGAGUUCUACCUGCUGGCCUACGUCAGAGCCGCAGCAACGUGGGAUCCAAGCCACGUCUGUGACCCACACCACAGCUCACGGCAACGCUGGAUCCCCGACCCACUGAGCAAGGCCAGGGAUCCAACCCGCAUCCUCAUGGAUACUAGCCAGGUUCGUUUCCACUGAGCCACCACGGGACCGCCGAAGCACUGUCUAAUUUCAACACGGAUGUGUAGCGACAGAGGAAAUUCAGCAUGUUGUAAAGAUCACGACUGGGUGAUGGCUCCCACCCGCAUUGCUCGAAUGGCCUCACACAAGUUCCCCCCCAGCAGUAGUGUCGAACCUGGCCUCUACAGACCCCAGGAGGGGGCGGGGGAGGUCAUGAAGUCCUGUGCCAGAAAUGCUGAGUGAAGGAAUGUCACAUCUGACAAGACAGUCAGGAUGAAUGGCAGCAAGCAGGGAUUUGUGACAAACUGGCACUGGUGGCAUCAGGAGCAAAUCCGAGUGGACACUGGUGGCACAGAACCAACACGUCCCUGUCUGUGUCCCUCACUGGAGCAGUCACUGCAUGGAGCCUGCAUGUUCCAUCCAGAGCCGGUCCUGUGGCCGCUGUCCUUGACCUACAGGUGAAACUGGCUGCGUCUCCAGCCAGACUCUCUCCUGAUGCCUCCCGUGGAUGGGGCGGGUGUGGGCAGGCCCUGCCUCCCACCAUCAGAUCUGCCCACUGACCAGGGAAGGAAAAGGGAACAGGACAUCACAGCCACAAUCUUGAAAACCCCUUUUGUUUUUUCAGACUUUCUUGUACCUGGGAGAUUUGAACGCUGAUAAAGUACAGUAGCUGCAGGCAUGUUCCUUACCAUAGGCUGGGUCCGUGUGUGGGGGGGGGGGGUAAAGCCAACCCCCAUCUCCCCGGGAGAUUCACCCACAAACUAUGCUUCUCCAGGGCUUCACCCUUAGCAGUAAAAACCAAGCGGCUCCGGGACCAGAUGCCCCGAGUUCUGUACAGUUUAGACCCAACAGGUACCAAGGGCCUGCACCCCCGCAAGCCAGGCAGGGGGGCAGGGUGGAGAGUCUCCCAGACACAGAGCCAACUGGGCCAGAUCACCUACUGCCAGAAACCAAGACAUGCCUCCCAAGCCCGGUGUCUGCACGCGGGCCUCACUGCACACUCGUGUCUUGUUUGGUCUGCAUGUUUGGUGGUUGAGGAGACCAGUGGGGGGAGCCGGUAUAGGCGGUGGGGGGGUGGGGGGAGAAAGGAAAAAAGAGCUCUAAAGUUCAGAGCUUCUUCUAAGUUCUUCUUCUUCUAAGUUCAGCUUCACCUCACACACAGCUCCCAGAGAAAUUCUGAGACGAUUCUCUUUCUCUAGGAUGCCUGGGUACCUGCCUUCCCCCAGUUACAUCUGCAUGAUUCAGUUCCCCAUGUGGGCGCCUCCGAGGGGGGCUGCACCCCCCCGCAAACAGGCAGGAGGCCCUAGGCUGGAGCAGGCAGGCCGCUGCACUCCCCAGCCCCCCUUGCUGUGUGCUACACCGCUGGCACAGAAAAGCACCUGCUUCUUGGCGGCACCGGCUCCUUCCCUGGCUUAUUGGUUAAUGGAUGUGGGGAGCAGAACUCUCCCCGCAGACAGGCUCACAGGAGGACUGGCCAGCAGCCAUCGUAUGCAGAGUCCCCCUCAAACUUUUUUCUGGAGCAAGGCACAAUAAAUAAGUAAUACAUAAGAAGAUAAAUAAAAACUCCCUUUCUGACCAGCCGCUAAAAACACAAAUGAAAACUCCCGGGCAGGCCAAGAAUGAAGACUGCAAUGCAGCCAGAAUGGCCCAUUAAAAUAUAUAUGUAUUUUUAAAACUCAAAUGGCAGCUGCCGAGAAGCAUGUAGUUGCAUGUUCUAAAGAACUCAGAUGUUUCCAUUUCUUGUUUAAAAUUAAAAAAAAAAAAAAAAAAAAAAAAGAGCAAAAGAUACUUUUAAGAUUCUAACUGAAGCCGCCUGGGGAGGAGGUUACCUGUUCAUCAGGUGGGGAAGCGUUCUGUGUUGUAUCCAUCGAAUGGGAUCCCAGGGCCCCUCUUCCCGCACCCCUGAACCAACUUGGUUCCCCCACGUCCCUCCACUGCAGGUGGCAAGGUUCAUUGCAGGUGACGCACUUCCCAGGACCUGACAGCUUCCAAUACUUUUUAAAUCUCCCAGCCCUCAAAGGCUCUCCCUAAACAACGCUCUUUCUACUCUCCUGGAAUUUCCUUUGAAAAUAAAACGUUCUUUUCCAUGUCACCACUCCUGGUUAUCUUUCGCCUGGAAGUAGCCUUCAACACGGGGGCUGCUCGCUUUUUGAGAACUGAACCAUGUCAGAGAAGAGCCACUUGGAACAUUUUUUUUUAUUUUUCUCUUCGCCACCUUGCUGAGUAUUUUAAAGCCCCCACACACAUGGUCGCAGACGGCUCGUGUUUAAACGCAGAAGACCCCUGGGAGCCGGCUGCUUCAGACUCAGGGCUGUCACCCCGUCCUGGAGCUCCAGGCCACCUGCCGGGGGAGGGGGCUGGAAGAUCCACCUUCGCCGGCGGCCCAGAGAGGAUCCAUGUCCCAAGACGCUGCCACUGUGGCUGCUGGGGUUCCAAUGGAUAGGUCCAUGCCGAAGAGAUUCAGAAGCAACCUAGCCAGCAAUGCAGCCUACAGACCCAGAAACGUCAGCUGCACUCGGAUCCUUCCAUCGGGCUUGGAGACACAGAAUCCAGGGCCCACGUUUUCCUGGUCUGCUUGCGCGCUUCCUUCCUCAGACAUAUUAGAAUCCACUGGACCUUCUUGGCUCUGCACGCUCCAAAGGGAGACCUGUAUGUUUUUCUCAAAUUCCAAAUCCUCCCUGCAACCUCUCAGUUACGAGAACCCUGGACAGCAGCCCGGGUGCCUACCUCUGCCUUAUUUGCGGCAGAGUGAUAUCAAUCGAGGUACCUAACCUCUCUGAGCCUCGGUUUCCUCAUCAGUGGAGGGGGAACAACACGCCUGCUUCCGAGGAGGGACGAGGGAGCAAACGAGAUCCCGCACGUGGACACACCCGACAAAAUCUGCGCAUCACCGUGCAGGUGUUACGGCUGGGCUCUGCAUGUUUCAUUUUUUUAUGAUCCGUCUUGUACCUGGCAGUGGCUGGUUCAGGGAAGCCUUCCUGCGUAAGGCUGGCAGUAAUAAAACCGCGGCGGAAUUUUAAAGCAGCCUGCCUGAUGCAGUCGAGGUGCCAGGGAAGUCAAAACAUGCAAACGCUGAGGAAACAUCAUUUUUUAUUGUGACUCUUGGGAACCAACCUGCAGUUGGGCUCCUGCAACGCAAGGCUACUCUCCCUCUGCUAGGAGCUGUUUGGUGUUUUGUGUGUUUUUUUUCUUUAAUGAGCAUUUAAAUAAUUGUUCAUCCUUAUUAUUCGGGUUCCUGAAAUAACACCAAUAAAGGUAUCAGGGAUGCUCAAUGAAAAGCACACCUGAGUUAUUAUUCAAUAAAAAGGCCGUAAUUGAGCGCCAGAGUUUAAGAGGCCCCUCCUAAGGCUAAGCGAUAGCAAAUAGAAGGGGAUUCCUGCCUGGGGGGAAUGUGGUCGUUCAUGGCUGCUCAAGAGGGAGCGGCAAGCAGACGCCACCUCCCAGUUCAAGCGGGGGAUCGCCAGCCCAGGUCUUUCUCCCCCAAAAGCUGGAGGCAGAAAUGAGAAGCCUGACACUUGGACACGAAAGUCAGAACUGGGUCU
ensembl:lncRNA